rnacentral:rRNA from 1 species
AGKYWRACRGAGCAAGCCGCGUGAGUGAUGAAGGCUUUCGGKUCGUAAAGCUCUGUCAAGUGGGAAGAAAUCCCGGGAAGUGAACAGUUUUUCGGGUUGACGGUACCACUGAAGGAAGCACCGGCUAACAUCAGUGCCAGCAGCCGCCGGUAAUACGGA